GAUGAACGCUGGCGGCGUGCCUAAUACAUGCAAGUUGAGCGAAUGGAUUAAGAGCUUGCUCUUAUGAAGUUAGCGGCGGACGGGUGAGUAACACGUGGGUAACCUGCCCAUAAGAUUGGGAUAACUCCGGGAAACCGGGGCUAAUACCGGAUAACAUUUUGAACCGCAUGGUUCGAAAUUGAAGGGCGGCUUCGGCUGUCACUUAUGGAUGGACCCGCGUCGCAUUAGCUAGUUGGUGAGGUAACGGCUCACCAAGGCAACGAUGCGUAGCCGAACUGGGAGGGUGAUCGGCCACACUGGGACUGGGACACGGGCCAGACUCCUACGGGAGGCAGCAGUAGGGAAUCGUCCGCAAUGGACGAAAGUCUGACGGAGCAACGCCGCGUGGGUGAUGAAGGCUUUCGGGUCGUAAAACUCUGUUGUUAGGGAAGAACAAGUGCUAGUUGAAUAAGCUGACACCUUGACGGUACCUAACCAGAAAGCCACGGCUAACUACGUGCCAGCCGCCGCAGUAA
rnacentral:rRNA from 1 species